AUUGAACGCUGGCGGCAUGCUUUACACAUGCAAGUCGAACGGUAACAGGGAGCUUGCUCCGCUGACGAGUGGCGAACGGGUGAGUAAUGCGUCGGAACGUGCCGAGUAGUGGGGGAUAACGCAUCGAAAGGUGUGCUAAUACCGCAUACGUACUGAGGUAGAAAGUGGGGGACCUUCGGGCCUCACGCUAUUCGAGCGGCCGACGUCUGAUUAGCUAGUUGGUGAGGUAAAGGCUCACCAAGGCGACGAUCAGUAGCGGGUCUGAGAGGAUGAUCCGGCACACUGGGACUGAGAUACGGCCCAGACUCCUACGGGAGGCAGCAGUGGGGAAUUUUGGACAAUGGGCGAAAGCCUGAUCCAGCCAUGCCGCGUGUCUGAAGAAGGCCUUCGGGUUGUAAAGGACUUUUGUCGGGGAGGAAAUCCCCAGCGCUAAUACCGCUGGGGGAUGACAGUACCUGAAGAAUAAGCACCGGCUAACUACGUGCCAGCCGCCGCAGUAAAAC
rnacentral:rRNA from 1 species